UUUUGGGGCCUCUUCACCAUAGGCAAUGGUUCGAGCGUAGCCGUAGGACUCGCCACCAGUAUUACCAUAUGAGAAUAUGUCAUGUCACUGCCGCACCUGUGUCUCACGUAGUAGCUCUGACCCUCUCAAUUUGGGUGGUGCGAUAAGGCCUCACUCAUAAUAACCCAUGGCAAUCAUAAAGUUCCAAAUACCAUAUGCUUCCCUUUUUGAGCUUUACUCAUUACAAUAAAUAGAGAUAGCCGUAAGAUAAAUAGAGAUAGCCGUAAUCAAUCUAUAUCUCAUUAGUAUCUACAUGUUUAAUGAAAUGUUAAGGAGUCUUCAUUCUUUCUAUUGAUUACUAAAAACAUCAAAGAUAUUGCAAUUUUUUUCCUUCUUUCUGCUUUUCUUAUUUUCUCUUUUAUUUGUUUGCUUGGUUGUAAAUAACUCCCAGAAGAUACAUAAGAUACAUUGACAAUAUUUAAAUAAUCUCAUCCCAUCUUGGUUAAAAUCCGGCAUCUUUUCGCCUGAGGUUAAAUCCUUCCUCUGGAUGCCAGAUGCCAUGUAUUUAAUUUUAUCCUUUGCUCGAUCAUAUAAACCCAAUAUGCAAAUUAUCCAGAGACUAGAUAGGUAGAUAUAAAAAAUAAUAAAUAAAUGGUUACACAAAAUGAUAACUUAAACAUUAUAGUUAGCAAAGCAACCUUGUGAUAUUAUUACAAUUAUCGCUCACCGGCAACAGCAGAUGCGGUAGCUGUCUGCUCGCAGAAAGGAAAUGUGCUUCAUUGAACAAGUUGCCGCCGCUGCUAUAGCAACGACGGGGGAAAUCAUUGAAUAUCUUUCUUAAAUGCAUAGGAUUUUGUUUUAAAGAAAGGAAUCCCAAGAAAGACUCUUCCAAAGGACUCUCCUAGCGGACUCUUCAAAAGGACUCAACAAGAGGACUCUUCUGCCAUGAGCCCCGGACGGCAGCUCGAACGGCGCUCCUCGCUGCCCGUUCUUUACACUCGCGGCACGCAUUACGAAGUCGGCUUUGACAUCGGCCGCACGUUUCGCGGCAUAAUCGAAGACUACUUGGCGGCGAGUAAGAGCUUUCAUGAUUCCCUUCUGAAGCACCACGGCGAAGGGGACGGGAAGGCUGCGUAUGAUGUCACCUUGGAGCAUUUACAG
rnacentral:lncRNA from 1 species